UCUGAUUAUUAAGUUUCUGCCCUUCCAUUGGCUAGAUAAAAUUUUGAAGAAUUCCCAUGAGCUUCAAGUCAUAAGAAAGAAGUUUGGGGCUGGGUGCAGUGACUCACACCUGUAAUCCCAACACUUUGAGAAGCUAAGGCCUUGUCGAAGUCAUCGGCAGUGAAGAAUGAGAUGUUAAAAUCAGAUGUGAUAUGCAUGGGGACAGGAGCCAUUCAAAGGCCGGUUUCAUCACUGAACAGCUAGACCUCCGUUCUGGUUGGCCAACCUCAGGAGCUGAUGGAUACAGGUUGGAACCAAGCCCAGGGGUCCUCCGGAAGAAUCUAAAACAGGCAAAAUAAAAUGUCUUCCAAACAGCUUCGUCCUACAUAGACAGGUGUAUCUGCCCUAUGUGCGUGCAUG
rnacentral:lncRNA from 1 species